CAUAUCUUAAUCAUGUUAACUUUGUUCUGGUUUUAAUAACUCAUACAUUUAAUGUUUCCAUACAACACUAGACGUCUGGUUAAUUAAUGUCCAUUACUGUAAGGCAGACGAGAUCGUUUUUAUAAAAAGAGGGUCAUAAACAUACGCUUUUUUCUUGAGGGAAAUCCGAUCGGAGCGAGAUAAAGCUACGUAUUUUAAAUUGGAUUUUCUUUUUAUCUCACUGAAACGACUUGGCUUGUGUCAAAGCGACUUUGUAGAUGUAUUGAAAUGACACCUUGAACCAGGAACAAUGAACUAGGGAACAGGAAACAUGAACCAGUGACCAGGAAUUCUGAAACAGGGACCAGGUAUAGGAUGCUGUUCAACCGUCACGACUGGGCAGGAUUUAAUCUUUGUAAUUUGUCUAUGGACGUUGUGAAUUAUUGGUUACGCUACAUCCACAAUAAAGCAGCCUUGAAGUUCAGGUUGAUCUACGACUAUAUAAUGUGUCCAGAUACUCCUAAAUGGAUGAUUGCUACAGUGUAUGCUGGGUCUGCACACACCUAGUGCCGAAGGCCUUCCAAUAA